AGCAAGCUGCUGAGGUAGAACGCUGGAGGCAUGAGAUUGAGGACAGCCGAAAAAGAGCAGAUGAAGCAGAAAAACGAGCUGCAGAAGUAACUCAACAAUUCACUGCUCAGCAAGAGUUGAUUAAGACCUUGCAACAGCAACAAACAGAAACAAGAAGCCUGUAUGAUGAGUUAGCUAACCAGCUGAAAGACUUGCGCAAAUAAGCAACUUCUGUGUCAGGUUCUAACACGAUUCCCAAGAAGAAGAAGCCAGUCAUUGCUGUGAAGAUGGUUUUUGAUUUGAAGACUACAAGGCCUAUCGUGCUCAUGUUUUGUUCUAGAUGGGAAUCGUGCUCAUAUUUUUGUAUAGAACUUUACUACUCUCUAUUGUGGAUGGGAAAUCACUAGUAUUGUAACUGAAUGGCUUAUUUUGGAUGGUGCAUGGUUUAUGACUCAUUUGAGGCAACAUUUAUAUAUAUAUGUAUUUGGGUUGAUCUUCUA